rfam:Picea glauca, whole genome shotgun sequence.
GCGGACGUAGUCAAGUGGACCAAGGCAGUGGAUUGUGAAUCCACCACGUGUGGGUUUAAUUCCCGUUGUUCGCC